GAAGAUAAUUUGGAGCUACACACAUACCCAGUGUGUCACAUCAAUGCAUAAGUAUGAGAGCUUAUCCUCUAUAUAACUCUCUCAAUCCAAAUCUAGCCAGCGAAUCAACUCAAACUAGACUUUCGCUUAAAUCCAUAUGCUGGAGCUAGCGAGAUCAACUCAAAGUUGUGUCUCACCCUGACUUUCCAUAUCUAUAGGGACUGAGUUCCAACAAGACUAGCUCAAGGCACGACUACCCAUCCAUUCCGUAUCCAUCAUAUACCAUAUAUAACAUACACACAACUCCAAAUUAUCCU
rnacentral:misc_RNA from 1 species